rnacentral:sRNA from 1 species
GUUUACUGCUUACAUACUUACAGCCUACCCACACUGGGUAGAAAAACUGAAUGAUACUCAGUUAGACAGUGGGAGCCCUCUCCGUUGGGAAUGUAAAGCUACUGGAAAACCCAGACCCACGUAUCGUUGGCUGAAGAAUGGAGUACCCCUCUCACCUCAGAGUAGGGUUGAGAUGGUUAAUGGAGUAUUGAUGAUCCACAAUGUGAAUCAAUCAGAUGCUGGAAUGUAUCAGUGUUUGGCUGAAAAUAAGUAUGGAGCCAUUUACGCUAGUGCUGAGCUGAAGAUUCUAGCUUCAGCUCCCACUUUUGCACUGAAUCAACUGAAGAAAACAAUAAUUGUUACCAAAGACCGAGAAGUUGUCAUAGAGUGCAAACCCCAAGGCUCUCCAAAACCAACCAUCUCUUGGAAGAAAGGAGACAGAGCAGUUAGAGAAAACAAAAGGUUAGAAUCUAUUUUAUAAUUCAAGUUCAACAUUAGACUUUUUUGAGGUUACAGGUGACACACACAAACUAUGCAAGAAAGAGUCUUGCAGUACCAUGAAACGUAUUUUAUG